UACGGAGGGUGCGAGCGUUAUUCGGAAUAACUGGGCGUAAAGGGCGCGUAGGCUGUUUUGUAAGUCUGGUGUGAAAUCCCGUGGCUUAACCACGGAAGAGCAUUGGAUACUGUAAGACUAGAGUGUCGGAGGGGAGAACGGAAUUCCUGGUGUAGAGGUGAAAUUCGUAGAUAUCAGGAGGAACAACGGAAGCGAAGGCGGUUCUCUGGACGAAGACUGACGCUGAGGCGCGAAAGUGUGGGUAG
rnacentral:rRNA from 1 species